rnacentral:rRNA from 1 species
CCUACGGGAGGCAGCAGUAAGGAAUAUUGGUCAAUGGACGCAAGUCUGAACCAGCCAUGCCGCGUGAAGGAUUAAGGCCAUCUGGGUUGUAAACUUCUUUUAUAGGGGACGAAAAAAGGGCAUUCUUGCUCACUUGACGGUACCCUAGGAAUAAGCACCGGCUAACUCCGUGCCAGCAGCCGCGGUAAUACGGAGGGUGCAAGCGUUAUCCGGAUUUACUGGGUUUAAAGGGUGCGUAGGUGGGUUGGUAAGUCAGUGGUGAAAUCUUCGAGCUUAACUCGGAAACUGCCAUUGAUACUAUCAAUCUUGAAUCAUCUAGAGGUAAGCGGAAUAUGUCAUGUAGCGGUGAAAUGCUUAGAUAUGACAUAGAACACCAAUUGCGAAGGCAGCUUACUAUGGAUGCAUUGACACUGAGGCACGAAAGCGUGGGGAUCAAACAGGAUUAGAUACCCUGGUAGUCCACGCCCUAAACGAUGGAUACUCGACAUUUGUGAUAUACAAUAAGUGUCUGAGCGAAAGCAUUAAGUAUCCCACCUGGAAGUACGACGCAAGGUUGAAACUCAAAGGAUUGAGG